CCUCCUCUUCUCCUCCGCCUCUGAGAUUUGCGACACCCGCUGGUUCUGGGCUAGCUCCAAAACCCCUUUCCAAUGGCUCCUCUAUUUCCCCCUCGGCACCCGCCCUUGUCGGUGACAUCUGAAGAGCGGCUGUCAUGCCUAUUUCACCUGAAGAGUUCUACAGAAGAUACUCAAGAUGAACAAGAUUCUGCUAUUUGCUUGAGGCCUGGAAUUGGCGAUUAUCAUGUGUUGUAAGUAUCUUAUUUAUGGAUGGUGGUUCUUCUCUUUCAAAGCACUGAUUUCUAAGUCAAAAAAUUCUGUGAAUUCUUGUUACUAAUAUUAUAAAGUGACUCUUUAUAGUCAAAAUAAAGUGAAUUGUAUUUUGAUUUGUUUUAUUAUUGUAAAAGCUCCUAAUUUAGUAGAAAAAAUUGUUUGAAUGAUGGACUAAAA